rnacentral:misc_RNA from 1 species
CAGAGAAUUUGCCCUUCGGGGUAGAUCUCCCACCCUUUGUUUACAAUACCAUUGUUGCUUUGGCAGGCCCGUCUUUGGACCACCGGCUCCGGCUGGUCAGUGCCUGCCAGAGGACCCAAAACUCUGAAUGUUAGUGUCGUCUGAGUACUAUAUAAUAGUUA